rnacentral:rRNA from 1 species
GACGAACGCUGGCGGCGUGCUUAACACAUGCAAGUCGAACGGAAAGGCCCUGCUUUUGUGGGGUGCUCGAGUGGCGAACGGGUGAGUAACACGUGAGUAACCUGCCCUUGACUUUGGGAUAACUUCAGGAAACUGGGGCUAAUACCGGAUAGGAGCUCCUGCUGCAUGGUGGGGGUUGGAAAGUUUCGGCGGUUGGGGAUGGACUCGCGGCUUAUCAGCUUGUUGGUGGGGUAGUGGCUUACCAAGGCUUUGACGGGUAGCCGGCCUGAGAGGGUGACCGGCCACAUUGGGACUGAGAUACGGCCAAGACUCCUACGGGAGGCAGCAGUGGGGAAUAUUGCACAAUGGGCGGAAGCCUGAUGCAGCAACGCCGCGUGCGGGAGGACGGCCUUCGGGUUGUAAACCGCUUUCGCCUGUGACGAAGCGUGAGGGACGGUAAUGGGUAAAGAAGCACCGGCUAACUACGU